rnacentral:rRNA from 1 species
GGAGGUUACUGCUAUCGGUGUUCGCCUAACCCAUGCGAGUCAUAUGUUCUUCGUGAACAUGGCGUACUGCUCAGUAACACGUGAAUAACCUGCCCUUGGGACCGGCAUAACCCCGGGAAACUGGGGAUAAUUCCGGAUACCGCAUAUAUGCUGGAAUGCUUUAUGCGUGAAAUGGAUUCGUCUGCCCAAGGAUGGGUCUGCGGCCUAUCAGGUAGUAGUGGGUGUAAUGUACCUACUACCCUACAACGGGUACGGGUUGUGAAAGCAAGAGCCCGGAAAUGGAUUCUGAAACAUGAAUCCAGGCCCUACGGGGCGCACCAGGCGCGAAAACUUUACAAUGCGGGAAACCGUGAUAAGGGGACACCGAGUGCCACCAACAUUUGUUGGCUGUCCAGGUGUGUAAACUACACCUGUUAGCAAGGGCCGGGCAAAACCGGUGC